rnacentral:misc_RNA from 1 species
GAUGAAGAACGUAGCGAAAUGCGAUACUUGGUGUGAAUUGCAGAAUCCCGUGAACCAUCGAGUCUUUGAACGCAAGUUGCGCCCGAAGCCAUUAGGCCGAGGGCACGCCUGCCUGGGCGUCACACGUCGUUGCCCCCCCAUCUACUCCUUCGGGAUUGCGGGGGGCGGAUGAUGGCCUCCCGUGCGCCUCGUCGCGCGGUUGGCAUAAAUGCCAAGUCCUCGGCGACGCACGCCACGACAAUCGGUGGUUGCGAAACCUCGGUUGCCCGUCGUGUGCGGUCGUCGCGCAUCGAGGGCUCGAAAAAAUUGCCGGGCUCCGGCUCGGCUUUCAACGCGACCCCAGGUCAGGCGGGGUUACCCGCUGAACUUAAGCAUAUCAAUAAGCGGAGGA